AGAGUUUGAUCCUGGCUCAGGAUGAACGCUGGCGGCGUGCCUAACACAUGCAAGUCGAGCGAUUCUUUUCGGAGAAGAGCGGCGGACGGGUGAGUAACGCGUGGGUAACCUGCCCUGUACACACGGAUAACAUACCGAAGGGUAUGCUAAUACGGGAUAACAUAUUUUGAUGGCAUCAUCGAAAUAUCAAAGCUCCGGCGGUACAGGAUGGACCCGCGUCUGAUUAGCUAGUUGGUGAGGUAAUGGCUCACCAAGGCGACGAUCAGUAGCCGACCUGAGAGGGUGAUCGGCCACAUUGGAACUGAGACACGGUCCAAACUCCUACGGGAGGCAGCAGUGGGGAAUAUUGCACAAUGGGCGAAAGCCUGAUGCAGCAACGCCGCGUGAGCGAUGAAGGCCUUCGGGUCGUAAAGCUCUGUCCUCAAGGAAGAUAAUGACGGUACUUGAGGAGGAAGCCCCGGCUAACUACGUGCCAGCAGCCGCGGUAAUACGUAGGGGGCUAGCGUUAUCCGGAAUUACUGGGCGUAAAGGGUGCGUAGGUGGUUUUUUAAGUCAGAAGUGAAAGGCUACGGCUCAACCGUAGUAAGCUUUUGAAACUGAGAAACUUGAGUGCAGGAGAGGAGAGUAGAAUUCCUAGUGUAGCGGUGAAAUGCGUAGAUAUUAGGAGGAAUACCAGUUGCGAAGGCGGCUCUCUGGACUGUAACUGACACUGAGGCACGAAAGCGUGGGGAGCAAACAGGAUUAGAUACCCUGGUAGUCCACGCCGUAACGAUGAGUACUAGUGUCGGGGGUUACCCCCCUCGGUGCCGCAGCUAACGCAUUAAGUACUCCCGCCUGGGAAGUACGCUCGCAGAGUGAAACUCAAGGAAUGACGG
rnacentral:rRNA from 1 species